rnacentral:rRNA from 1 species
GACGAACGCUGGCGGCGUGCUUAACACAUGCAAGUCGAACGGAAAGGCCCUGCUUUUGUGGGGUGCUCGAGUGGCGAACGGGUGAGUAACACGUGAGUAACCUGCCCUUGACUUUGGGAUAACUUCAGGAAACUGGGGCUAAUACCGGAUAGGAGCUCCUGCUGCAUGGUGGGGGUUGGAAAGUUUCGGCAGUUGGAGAUGGACUCGCGGCUUAUCAGCUUGUUGGUGGGGUAGUGGCUUACCAAGGCUUUGACGGGUAGCCGGCCUGAGAGGGUGACCGGCCACAUUGGGACUGAGAUACGGCCCAGACUCCUACGGGAGGCAGCAGUGGGGAAUAUUGCACAAUGGGCGGAAGCCUGAUGCAGCAACGCCGCGUGCGGGAUGACGGCCUUCGGGUUGUAAACCGCUUUCGCCUGUGACGAAGCGUGAGUGACGGUAAUGGGUAAAGAAGCACCGGCUAACUACGUG